rnacentral:rRNA from 1 species
UACGGGGGGGGCAAGCGUUGUUCGGAAUUACUGGGCGUAAAGGGCUCGUAGGCGGCCAACUAAGUCGGAUGUGAAAUCCCCAGGCUUAACCUGGGAACUGCAUCCGAUACUGGAUGGCUUGAAUUCGGGAGAGGGAUGCAGAAUUCCAGGUGUAGCGGUGAAAUGCGUAGAUAUCUGGAGGAAUACCGGUGGCGAAGGCGGCAUCCUGGACCGACAUUGACGCUGAGGAGCGAAAGCGUGGGGAGCGAACAGG